rnacentral:rRNA from 1 species
UACGUAGGUGGCAAGCGUUGUCCGGAUUUACUGGGCGUAAAGAGCGCGCAGGCGGUCGCUCAAGUCGCGUGUGAAAGCCCCCGGCUCAACUGGGGAGGGUCACGCGAUACUGAUCGACUCGAAGGCAGGAGAGGGUAGUGGAAUUCCCGGUGUAGUGGUGAAAUGCGUAGAUAUCGGGAGGAACACCAGUGGCGAAGGCGACUGCCUGGCCUGUUCUUGACGCUGAGGCGCGAAAGCUAGGGGAGCAAACGGG